UACGUAGGUGGCAAGCGUUGCUCGGAAUCACUGGGCGUAAAGGGCGCGUAGGCGGGAUGGCAAGUCGGUCGUGAAAUCCUUCGGCCCAACCGAAGAACGUCGGCCGAUACUGCCAUUCUUGAGGAUUGCAGAGGAGACUGGAAUUCCCGGUGUAGCGGUGAAAUGUGUAGAGAUCGGGAGGAACACCGGUGGCGAAGGCGGGUCUCUGGACAGUUCCUGACACUGAGACACGAAGGCCAGGGGAG
rnacentral:rRNA from 1 species